AUUAUUUUGAAUAAAAAUAUUUUUUUAUCUUGAUUCUUUUAUCGUUUAUCUAAUAUUCUUCUCUAUUUUUUUCGCUAUGUGAAUACAUGUUGUUUAUCGUUAAGCCCUGGUAAUUUGAUACUACUGAUAAAUGGGAGGUGAGAUGGACCGAAAACUUAAAAGCCAUUCGUUCGUCGUUUUAAGUUUUGUCAAGUGAAUUGGUUUCAAUCGUUUCAAUCGUAUCAAUUGAUUUAUGAUCAUUGACUACCAAGAAUUCGGUUGCCGGUGAACGAAAACGAUGAAAACCAAUCUUUCCAAAUAAUUAUUAACACCAACCGGGGACACCGGACAGUUUUGAGAGGAGACCGGAAUUACCAGAUAGAAACGAGUGAAAGGUUCAAGGUUUAUAGGGUUUGCAGUGGCCCGACAGAGUUUCUAACGCUAACCAGUGGGAUCCAGUAGGGAAGCUGAGCAUAAGGAUGGAAAAGUAUAACCGAGCUCUAGGCUCUAGUAAUAGUUCAGAAUCUGCCAGGAAGCCGUCCUGAAGCCUGACUAUUUCGUUUCAAUGCUCUAACGCUCGGCGCAAAUCAAACCACUUUAUUGAGGAAAGAAAAUUGUAAUAAUAAUCGAAGGAUUCGAACAAGGAAAACAGUGCCGGACGAAUCGGAUAUGAUAUGAAAAGUACAUAAUGGAACCGCAGCUUAGUUUCGGAUGUAAUUUUUAUCGGCGUGUUGCUCUCAAAGCAGAGCCUUCCCCCAAUCCUGAUUUGAACAGCAUAAAUUUUCAAUUCCAGCGAAGGUUUAAAGAUUAUAAUUCCAUUAUCAAUAUGUGCUCAAAAAAUCAAGCAGUGUUCGUUGGCCAGCAAAAUCUUCAACAAAAGCAUUGCGCGGGAGACUACCUGCCUUCCUCGAAUCUUGAUAAUUGAAAUGGUCUCGAUUAAUUCGGAAUUAUGAAGAUGUCGCAAGUGACGAGAACCAGUUCCAAGAACCAGAGUUCUUCAAUGAAACCGUUUCUAUCAGCAAAGCUGACGGGAAAAACUCGUACGUGGAGUGGUCGUCGUAAUGUUUCGGCAGCUGACCAAACCGACUCAUUAGGUUUCUCCAAGAGAAAAGCAAUUUUUCAAUCAGGGCCAUCAGCAUCGAUACGCAUAAUGAGACGAUGGAGGAGGAAAAAACGAAGACGGAAAUGGAUCGCUGAGAAAACAUUUUUAGGGGAAGCUUUUGAAAAUAGUUUCCAGACAUGCCAGUGUUUUCAUAAAGAUAUUUUUAAACAGUUGAAGUACCCUGGAAGCGGGCCAAGUUUAUAGAUGCAGAAUACACUACAUAGAUAGAUCUAAACAACAGUUAAAAAAAAUCAGUGACAUUAAUUUCGAGCUCAUUGCCGCAUGAAGCGAUGCAACGAUAACUUUCGUUUCAAUAAAUCAAGCAGUAAUUUCUAGUUUCUAA